CUAAGCUAUUUUUAUGGCAUUUUUUUACUACCUUUAGUUAGAAGCAUUUAUCCUGGUCAUUGUAAGUGGCAUACACACAUGCUAUAUAUUGUUUUUUCAGCAGAGUCUAGGUUACCCAAAUCUGUCACAAUUUCAUGUAUUAAUA